rnacentral:rRNA from 1 species
UACGAAGGGGGCUAGCGUUGUUCGGAUUUACUGGGCGUAAAGCGCACGUAGGCGGAUCGUUAAGUCGGGGGUGAAAUCCUGGAGCUCAACUCCAGAACUGCCUUCGAUACUGGCGAUCUUGAGUCCGGAAGAGGUGAGUGGAACUCCUAGUGUAGAGGUGGAAUUCGUAGAUAUUAGGAGGAACACCAGUGGCGAAGGCGGCUACCUGGACCAGCACUGACACUGAGGCACGAAAGCGUGGGGAGCAAACAGG